GCGCCAUCUACAACUGCAUCAAAUGGACCAUGCUGCUGCAGCCACUCCUGGAACUGAACAAAGUUGGACUUAACCUCCCUUUGGCAAGCCAAAUUGGAUAAUGAGGUAGCAAAGUUUUCUGUUUCUCCUGGAUCUAUGUCAAUGCAAACAAGCUUCUCCCCACAAGAAUGACAAACACCCUUCUCAUCAAUUUGAGUCCUCACUGCUCUCCAUCGACCACUCC
rnacentral:misc_RNA from 1 species